rnacentral:rRNA from 1 species
GACGAAGGAUGCAAGCGUUAUCCGGAUUUAUUGGGUUUAAAGGGUGCGUAGGCGGCCUAUUAAGUCAGUGGUGAAAGCCUGGAGCUUAACUCCAGAACUGCCAUUGAUACUGAUGGGCUUGAGUACAGUUGAGGUGGGCGGAAUGUGUCAUGUAGCGGUGAAAUGCUUAGAUAUGACACAGAACACCGAUUGCGAAGGCAGCUCGCUAAACUGUAACUGACGCUGAGGCACGAAAGCGUGGGUAGCAAACAGG